GAUGAACGCUGGCGGCGUGCCUAACACAUGCAAGUCGAGCGAAUUACUUAGGUGAAGAGCGGCGGACGGGUGAGUAACGCGUGGGUAACCUGCCCUGUACACACGGAUAACAUACCGAAAGGUAUGCUAAUACGGGAUAAUAUGCUUUAGUCGCAUGGCUGAAGUAUUAAAGCUCCGGCGGUACAGGAUGGACCCGCGUCUGAUUAGCUAGUUGGUAAGGUAACGGCUUACCAAGGCGACGAUCAGUAGCCGACCUGAGAGGGAGAUCGGCCACAUUGGAACUGAGACAAGGUCCAAACUCCUACGGGAGGCAGCAGUGGGGAAUAUUGCACAAUGGGCGAAGGCCUGAUGCAGCAACGCCGCGUGAGCGAUGAAGGCCUUCGGGUCGUAAAGCUCUGUCCUCAAGGAAGAUAAUGACGGUACUUGAGGAGGAAGCCCCGGCUAACUACGUGCCAGCCGCCGCAGUAA
rnacentral:rRNA from 1 species